rnacentral:lncRNA from 1 species
GCAAGAAUUCAACUUUCGGUUUUAUGUUGAGAUUGUCAUCAACCGGGGGAGGGGUAGUAUUUUGGCCACUACUUUCACCGGUUUUAGCUUUUUCUUUAUCGAACAUAUUUUUCAACGAAAAUUCCAUAAUAAUUAGCACGUAAGAGUUCAAACGAGUUUACCGGAUUGACGAACAACUUCUUGAAAAUUGAAAAUCUUUGAAAUUGAACACAUGAAAACUUCAAUUCAACAACUUCACAAUGAUUCAC